rnacentral:rRNA from 1 species
UACGGAGGGUGCGAGCGUUGUCCGGAAUCACUGGGCGUAAAGGGCGCGUAGGCGGCCUGAUAAGUAGGGGGUGAAAUCCUGCGGCUUAACCGCAGGGCUGCCUUCUAAACUGUCAGGCUAGAGCACAGUAGAGGCAGGUGGAAUUCCCGGUGUAGCGGUGGAAUGCGUAGAGAUCGGGAAGGACAUCCGUGGCGAAGGCGGCCUGCUGGGCUGUUGCUGACGCUGAGGCGCGACAGCGUGGGGAGCAAACAGG